GAUCCUGGCUCAGGACGAACGCUGGCGGCGUGCCUAACACAUGCAAGUCGAACGAAGCUUGAUUUCUGAUUUUUUCGGAAUGACGAAUGGUAUGACUGAGUGGCGGACGGGUGAGUAACGCGUGAGCAACCUGCCCUUCGGAACGGGAUAGUGUCUGGAAACGGACAGUAAUACCGUAUAACAUAUAUUGAUCGCAUGGUUGAUAUAUCAAAACUGAGGUGCCGAAGGAUGGGCUCGCG
rnacentral:rRNA from 1 species